UGUCCUUUGGUGGAAAAUGGGACCAUAUAUGGAAUUCUUUAAUCAAGUUCAUUUUUUUUCCUUUCUAUUUCCAGGCCAGCAAGCUUGAAAGCCAAAAAGAUCACUGCAAACUCUUUAGUAUCGCUGUGUGUUUUUGCUGUGGCAGUCGUAGUGGAAGAACUUUAUAAUUUGCUUUAUGCUUUUCUUAUGGAUGGAUGGAUGGAUGCAUGGGAUGCAAAGAAAGCGAUGUUGGUGAGGUUCAAUCUGAUGACGGAUUUACGUGUGGAAAAGUCGUAAAAGUUCUCGGAUUGAGCCGCGCCAAUAUCACUUUCCCAUAUCUUUUCCCCAACUGCAUGCUUUCCCAUAUCACCUGAUGAUUAUCAGUUUCUCUUGAAAACUUGUUUUUCUGAUAUAUAUUCUAAUAUUCGAUUCUACUUCUUGCAUGAUAUUGCAUGUUUUAUAUAUCUUAAAUUAUCUUUUCACAAAAAGCAUCUCUUAAAUUUAUCCCUUAUAUAUAUGCCAAUAUAUGUAAAUUGCAUUAUUGUUGUUGUUUGAUGAUCACUUGGAGACCCUCUAAAGCAGGUCUAUAGAAUAAAGUCCGGAUACUUGCAAUUGCCGGCAAACUACAGGUAUCAUUUAAGUCCGGAUUCGAACAUAAGACCUCGAGGCAUAAGUAUAACAUUAUUGAAGCUUCCAUUCGAGCUGCCCGUGCGGGACAUAAAUUGCAUCACGCGCGUAGACUUCUUUUCUUGCAGCAGUACUUAUUUAUUUUUCUGGAGUACCAAUGUUGAACAUAUUGGCCAGAUGAAAUUGAGGUCUCACUUUAAACACUCUCCAAGGAGUCAUAGCUAAUGCUGAGUUGUUUGAUGCUGAGUUGAUAGCCCUGGCAUACCUUGACAGAGAGAAUCAGCACAAGAAUGACAAGAAUUGAUGAUUCGACAUGACUAGAAGUAGAAGUAAUUGGGGCUAGAAGUAUGCAGUAAAACGUGCAAAACUUUCGUUACCAGUAUUAGAAUUGUGCAUAAGACCCCAAUUUGAGAAGCUUAUUUUAAUUUUCAAGAAGUAGUUCAAUUGACUGUGGACCACGCAUAAUGAAGUGGAGGUCACUAGUUCGAA